UAGAAAUGAGCAAACUACAAAAGGUCACAAGGUUUGUUUUGGACUAGUACCAGAUAUAUAUCUAAACCUCUUGAACCUGGCAAACAGGGGACUCCUUCUGGAAAUCUUCAAGAGGAGACUGGACAGACACCUUGUUGAGAUCAUUUGAUAUCAGCAAUAUUCCCGCCCAGAGCAGGGGGCUGGACUCAAUGAUCCUUCGAGGUCCCUUCCAGCCAAUAAUUUCUAUGAUUCUGUGACCUUUCUGCUACUGCUUCUUUCCCUUAUCACCACAACAGGAUAUGUGAGGGACACAAAAAAGCUGGGGGAGAGGCACUGAAUGGAGUGAACUUUUUCAGUCUACAGACAAAGGAGCUGAUGCCUGAAGUUUAGGAGAGUUUGGCCCUUCACUGGGACUGCUUUUUAUUUUCAAGGUUUCAGGCAAUGCAGCAUGCCCUGUUCACUGUGGCUUCUACACAUUUCUACUUAUGGGCUAAAGAAACACUGCACUCAAAGAAGUACUUGCCAG